rnacentral:tRNA from 1 species
CUUUAGAAAUCGUGAGGGUUCAAGUCCCUCUAUCCCCAAUAAAAAGAAAA